UUGAACUCACAAAGAUCUGCCUGCUUCUGCCUCCCCAGUGCUGGGAUUAAAGGCGUGCGCCACCACUGCCUGACCAUUUAUUCUAUCUUAACACAGAGAUGAAAGUUAAGAAAGACAGGAAGCUCACUCGCGGGUCAUUGUGCACAGAAGUUCCCAGAGGGAAGUCCAAAGCUGUGUUAAGGAUUCUACAAAGCUAUUGACUGAUUGGAACUUUGUAAUGGCAAACAGCUGGGAUGUUACAGAUCUAUAGUCAAAUCAUCUUAUGUUAUCUUUAAUCCUGUUACCUGCCAUUCACUGCCCACAUCUGCCCUCACAUCCUUGUACCAGGUAAGUAUUCUGAAACCAUAGUAACUGAGGAGGCGGCUAGCUUCUGCCACCUCCAGGCUAAGAAUGCCCUGUGGUAGCACCUGACACCUGUAGUGGAAAUGUCCUCACUUCGCUGUUCCUCCUGCUGGGCUCCCCUAUUGCUGUUCGUCCGAAGCCUUGACUUACGACUGUCUGUCGUGCCAACCCUUCACAGAACUGCGUCCACAUUAGAGCAUGUUAUCUGACAAAGCCUGGACCCACGUUCCUGGGCUAAUGGUCAUUCGUACUCCGCUUAGGAGUAGACCACUCAUUCCCUGUGAGGUGAGAGCUGUCACCAGACAGAAUUGCAUCCUUGAUCGUGUACCCAUGAUGAAGGGAGAGGAGACAGAUAUGAAGGACAGGGCAGGCCUCCACUGGGCUCCGCAGUCCAGCAAGGGCUCCACAGUCUUCCAAGUGGAUAGAAGGCAAAAGGUUGAAACUACGUUCCUAGUUUUAAACUUAACAAAUGUGAAAACAAACAAACAAAUUCACACUCCAAAGGAAGUAGGGUGAGGACCAAAGAGUAGAAUUCUCAGUUUUAACAAUGUAGAAUUCAUAGGUGUUAUUUAAACGAAGAAGUGUAAUAGAAGUAUAUGAGUUUAAUUAUUCAUUAGUUAAUCAGUAUGUUUGUGAGUAUGUGUGUGCGCAUGUGCAUGUGUGAGUGUGUGCGCACGCAUGCAUGCUGGGGCUCUAAACCUGGGCUUUGGACAUGGCAGCAAGUAUUCUUCUGUACCAGUCUCUUUCUUUUAAGCCACCAACCAGCCCCCAAAUCAUGACAUGGAGACUUCUUAUUAGUUAUGAAUGCUCAGCCUGGCUUAGGCUCAUUUCCUGCUGGCUCUUUAACUUAAUGUGUUUCUCAUUAUCAACCUUUGCCUCGGGGCUUGUUACUUUCUUUCCCUCUGUGUAUCUUACUUUCGCUGUUUCUCACGUAUGACUGGCUGCUGCCUGGCUUCUUUCCCUGGGUGUCUUCUUUGUUCUCUCGUCUCUCACUCCUCUCCUGAGUCUCGCUUUCUCCUCCUAUUUAUUCUUUCUGCCCACCAUGCCUGCCUAGCCCUUUCCCGCCUAGCUAUUGGCCGUUCAGCUUUUUAUUAGUCCAACCAGGUACUUCAGGCAGGCAAGGUGAACCAGAUGCAACACAUCUGUAUGUGAUUAAAUCCACACCCUUAGGUCGUUAAACAAAUGUAGCGUAAGUAAAUGUGACACAGCUUCAUAUUAUACAGCAUAAACAAAUGUAACACAUCUUUUCCUGGCUAAAAUAAUACUCCGCAACUCUCUUCCAACUGAGCUGGGGCUCUAAUCAGUAAGUUAUUUUUAAGACUAGAAAUAAGGCUAAGAAUGGUGGGACUGUGCUUCCAUGAGUACCAGGAUACCAAGAAGUUAGCAUCACAUGGCGUAUGCCAGGUUCUGUCCUCUGGUGAGGGCUCAUUUUCUUGUUAUCAGCUUCUGGAAGUGUUUGUAUUUCUCUCAGCUAUAAGGCAUUGCUAGAGAUUCCCUGGGCCUGUUUGUUUCACAGCAACCACAACUACAGAGCUUCGUGGCUUCACCAACUGUAUUGUUUUUGGUCAAUUUAACCAAAUUUACAUUUUCUGUCAAAAACACUUUUGCCUUCUCUUGCUUGUUCAGUCAGGGCAGGAAAGUGAACUUGGGUCCAGCUUCAGAUAUCGCAAUCGGGCUGACAGACUGCUCUCGGCCUUAUGGCUGUAGUCAGGGUAUUGCUGGAGGAACAUGACCAGUUGGGUAUAGAGGUGGCGAACAUGGGACACUAUGUUCAUUGCUUUUCUUCUUGGGACUACCAAAUACAUAACAAGGACACCAUAGUAAAAGGAGGCUUUGCUCAGGCUCACGGUUCAAGGAGAUACAGUUCAUCAUGGUAGGGGAAGGCACAGUGGAGGAACAGAGACACCGAUGGCCACUUUCCAGUCAUGGAGUAGAGAGAUGAGCUGGUGCUCAGAUCACUUCUACCUUGUCACUCUGUGAUCCCCAUCCGACCACAGCCUGUGGAUGGCGCCUCCCACAUUCAGGGCAGGUCUUUGCCUCAGUUAAUCCUCUUCGGAUGCUCUCCUGGGAACAGCCAGAUGUGUGUCUCCUGGGAACAACCUGAUGUGUGUCUCCUGGGAACAACCUGAUGUGUGUUUCCUGGGAACAGCCAGAUGUGUGUCUCCUGGGUAAUUCCAAACCCAGCCAAGUUGACGGUGAAGAUCAACAGGUCCCUGUGCAAUCAUGUGUAGGUAAGUUUCUCUCCUCUCUCCCUUAUCCACACCCAUACCUGACCAGCACCCAGUAGCCAGCAGCCCCUUCCUAUCCCUCACCAAGAGUCUCCCUAACACACUGGCCAACCAGUAGCCAGCAGCCCCUUAUUACCCCUUACCAAGAGUCUCCCUAAGACGCUGGCCACACCUUGGGCUGCUCAGCCAUUGAGAUUGCCCUCGUUUUACCCCUACCAGGAUGAUGACUGAUGACUCCCCUGCUUUCUCCAGGAUCUACUUUCCCUGACAUGCACACCCCUCUUUUCCUCUCUGGGGUCAGAUCCACCUCCUGGCCUUUCCAGAAAACUGUGCACCCUGAUCCUCACUUAGGACACAAUCUGCUACAGACUUUUUCUGCCUAGGCUCAGCCUCUGCCCUUGUUCUGACUCCAGAUUCUCACCUGAUCCUUCUGAGCCUCUGUCCACCCACCACUGUGCCCGUACAGGCCAGCAGAGGACCCGUUGCCCUUGCUCUGCAGCCAGUGGGAGGGAUGAGACAGCAAGGCCAUGAAGCCUUCAUUCUUAGCAGCUACUACGAGCCAGAUAUUGUUCUAGGAAUAUGUGUUAGUCAGGAUUUCUAUUGCUGUGAUAAAACACCGUGACCAAAGGCAACUCGAGGAGAACAGCAUUUUUGUUUUUGUUUUUGUUUUUGUUUUUAAAUAGCUUACACUUCUGCAUCAUAGUCCAACACUGUAGGAAGUCAGGGCGGAACUCAAGGCAGGGACUGAAGCAGAGGCCAUGGAGGAAUGUUGCUUGGCGUGGCUUGCUUUCACGUCUUCCUGUCCAGAUAUGCAACCCCCCCACCUCUGUGGACUCCACCUGGCUACAGCAAUCUGUAAUUCAGAAAAUGCCCUAUAGACUUUCCUGCAGACAACCUGGAUGGAGGCAUUUUCUCAGUUGAGAUUCCUCCUCGUCCCAGAUAACUCUAACUUGUGUCAAGUUGACAAAAAAAAUAAAAAUAAAGGCCUAACUAGGAUAGCACAUUAUAUUGAUAACCUCUUUGCUCUCCUAGAAGCUCAAUUUUUAUUACCAUCCUACAGAUUAGGCAAUUGAGGCAGGGAGCUGUGAAGUAACUUGCGAAUGAUCUGCCAGCCAGGGUUCUGAAUGCAAACCCCCCAGAGUCUGGAAUCUUUGCUGCGACACUCUACUGCCUCUCCCUGACCACUGCUGAGGCCCUUGACCUGAAGAUAAACCUAGAAUUCUCUGGCCAGAGCUCUUGCCUGAUACCCACCUGACAUCAGGAGGCAGGUGUGUUUCGGCAUCUCUGGGAAGGCCAGGCUUGUCAAAUGAUGGUUAUCUCUGUCUGUUCCCUAGAGCAAUUAGAACAAAGUACCACAAGCUUGGUGGCUAAAAAUGACCGGAAUUUAUUGUCUUGGAGUCCUCAAGGUCAGAAAUCCAAAAUCAGGCUGUUGUUCCCUCUGGACCUCCAGGGAGGAAUUUCUCUUGCUUUUUUCAGCAUAGCCUCAGGUGUUCUUUGGCUCCCAUCUCUUUCUCCAGAGGCUCAGGUCAAUCCCUCCACCUCUCUCCUCUUCCUAUGGAAGCCCCACCCAUACUGAACUCCGUCGCCUUAACCCACUGUGGCUUCAUCUUAACCUGAAAACACCGUGUUUCCAAAUAAAGCCUCAUUCACAAGUACUGAGACUUGGGACAUGUGUACCUCUUUCUUAGAGACCCAGUUCCUCUUGUAAGGUGGUAUCUUUGUCUGUGUUGCCAUUUGUAUGUGGCAACUGAUUCUCAGACUGUGUAGGAAGCCCACUUUCAGGAGAGACUCCACCUUCUGUAUUCCAAAACCUAAAAGAACUUCAAGAAAAUGAUAUGUGCUUGAUAUAAACAUUACACCAUCUCUACAGCCAUCAAAAUAUGGAGCCAGGGAUGGAGAGGUGGCUCAGUACUUGCUAUUGGUUCCAGAGAACCUGUGUUCGACUCCUAGCAUCCAUGUGAUGACUCACAACCCUCUGUAACUCCAGUUCUAAAGGAUCUGACACUCUCUGGCCUCCGUAGACACUGGGCACACACGUGGUGUACAGACGAACAGCAGUCAAAAUGCUCAGACAUAUAAAAACAAUAUAAGAUAAUUAUACAAUAGAAAACAUAUGUUUACUCCAGUGAUACAUACAAUUUUUAUUUUUAACCCAUUAAAACCACAAAGGGCUUUUGCAGUCAGAACCUGGGCCUCCUGUUGGCGUCACACUGGCCCUUGAAGGCACUGUGGCCGUGCCCAGUAGCUCUCUCAGAUACAUUGGCAGACUCUAUUCACAUCCCCUAGACUCACAAAAAUCUGAGGAAAUCGGUCCUCACAUCUCUCAGAGGUCAGAGAUGUUCUUUCUCAUCUCUCAGAGGCCAGGAGACCACAUUUCAGCCUAUGAAGCAGAGUAGGUUUGUUCUUUGACCGCUGAAAGCAAAGGCUAAAAGCUGUCCUGACUCCAUAGCCAAGCUAGCAGGCAUCAGUGAUGUUCAGGGACAUAUCCCUGUGAACAAAGUGGAAGGACUGAGGAGAGGGCCUAGACACACUGCUAAGCACCGGGCAUGCCCAGGGACUGAGGCCUACCUGCCCCCUGAGUUUUUGGUGUCCUGCGGGUGGGAGCUGGAAAGACAGAAUCGCCUCAUUGUUUAAUUCACGAGCUCCUCUGGUGGGCCUAGGAGCCUCCCCUUGACUAAAGCCCCUCUUCACAUUCAUUCUCUACAUCCCUCAUGGAAGAUCCCAAAGAGCCUUUGCCCUGCUUCAGCCCAGACGGGCUCGCUCCCAUGGACAGACACCUCAGGUGAGACAAGUGUGCUCUGUAAUCCUCCCUCCGGCUCUAGGACUGCCGCUGGUAGCAUGCAGGUGAACAAGCCCUUGGGUGGUCAGCGUGUCUCCGCUGUUCCUGUGCUUUGCAGCGCCAUCUUCGUGACUUAAUCUUCUUCCCAACUUGACCGUGAACUGCCCAAGGGCGGGGCCGUGGUGUCACCCGUGAUGGUGCCCCUUGCACACUCGUCCACGUGAGCAGUUGCACCAUUCUCUUCCUCCCGCUCCUUCCUUUGUCACACUACACUGGCCCAUCCCUUGGGAAGACUGAGGGAAUCUCUGGGUCAGUCGCUUCUUGUCACACCCAGUUCCUGCAGCCUCAUUUUGAGUACAUUAGCAUAAAGUUGUCCUGAAUGUGGUCUAAGUAAUUUCUGGCUCCUGCCGACAAAGAGAUCUAUGGCAGGGUUCUAGAUGGCGAUCACCAUCUAGAUGAGGCAGGGCAGGUACCGACUGCAGAGGAACCCAGUGGCACUUCCGGGGGCUGCUAAUAGUCUGGCUCUUGGGCGUGGUCUGCACAGGUGGCUCUGUGGAAAUUCAGCGACUGCUUACAAAGCAAGCAUCUCUCACGGCACACAGGGCACGGGAAAGUGGCUUUGGGGUUUCUUGUUGUUUCUGUUGUUUUCAGUUUUUGAUUUAAACAAAGGGAAUACCCACUUUGGCUUUUACUUUGGUGAGUAAAAGAGAAUAAAUAGGUAUUUCUCAUCUG